rnacentral:misc_RNA from 1 species
UGUGGGAGGGGGCUUGCCCCCGAUAGCGGUGUGUCAGGUGUAUUUGCUUAACCUGACACACUGCCAUCGGGGGCAAGCCCCCUCCCACA